AGCGAACGCUGGCGGCAGGCCUAACACAUGCAAGUCGAACGAAGUCUUCGGACUUAGUGGCGGACGGGUGAGUAACACGUGGGAACGUACCUUUUGGUUCGGAACAACUCAGGGAAACUUGAGCUAAUACCGGAUGAGCCCUUAGGGGGAAAGAUUUAUCGCCGAAAGAGCGGCCCGCGUUAGAUUAGCUAGUUGGUGAGGUAAAGGCUCACCAAGGCUACGAUCUAUAGCUGGUCUGAGAGGAUGAUCAGCCACACUGGGACUGAGACACGGCCCAGACUCCUAUGGGAGGCAGCAGUGGGGAAUCUUGCGCAAUGGGCGAAAGCCUGACGCAGCCAUGCCGCGUGAAUGAUGAAGGUCUUAGGAUUGUAAAAUUCUUUUACCAGGGACGAUAAUGACGGUACCUGGAGAAAAAGCCCCGGCUAACUUCGUGCCAGCCGCCGCAGUAAAAC
rnacentral:rRNA from 1 species